GCGAAUGCUUUAUCACUGAUAUACAUCGAUAUGUUCUGCAGAUAACAGACCGAACAUACGAUGUGUCUAGAACCAUACACACCACAGAUUAUCCUGAACAAUACUCAUUCAAGACUACAAUUAACUAGAGCGUAGAAGCGUCGACGAACUAUACACCUGACGGUCAAUUUACAUUACAAUAGACAAACCAACGACACUUCAAUCUACCUGAAAAGAAGAGGAAAAUAAAGAAGUGGGUCCCGACUAUUCUGUGGUGCUGGAUGAGGAGAAGCAGCCGCAGAUGAGCUCCAGUAUACUCUUCUUCACGCCAUUGUGAUCGCCCAUCCUUCUGAAGUUUUGAUCGACGAUCCUCGGAGUGUCGGAGCUCACCUUCAGUCACGGGUGAAACGAUCAAGAUGGAAUGUCAAAAAUGUUUGGAGCUGGAAGUGCUAACACUGAGCAAGCAGGGGAGUUGGAUGCUCGGUGCCUGAGCAAGCCUCUCUG
rnacentral:lncRNA from 1 species